rnacentral:rRNA from 1 species
GACGAACGCUGGCGGCAUGCCUAAUACAUGCAAGUCGAGCGAACAGAUGAAGUGCUUGCGCUUCUGACGUUAGCGGCGAACGGGUGAGUAACACGUAAGGAAUCUACCUAUAAGCGGGGGAUAACAUUCGGAAACGGGUGCUAAUACCGCAUAAUAUCUUCUUCCGCAUGGAAGAAGAUUGAAAGACGGCUCUGCUGUCACUUAUAGAUGACCUUGCGGUGCAUUAGUUAGUUGGUGGGGUAAUGGCCUACCAAGACGAUGAUGCAUAGCCGACCUGAGAGGGUGAUCGGCCACAUUGGGACUGGGACACGGCCCAAACUCCUACGGGAGGCAGCAGUAGGGAAUCUUCCGCAAUGGGCGAAAGCCUGACGGAGCAAUGCCGCGUGAGUGAAGAAGGCCUGCGGGUCGUAAAACUCUGUUAUAAGAGAAGAACAAAUUGUAGAGUAACUGCUACAGUCUUGACGGUAUCUUAUCAGAAAGCCACGGCUAACUACGUGCCAGCAGCCGCCAUAA